rnacentral:rRNA from 1 species
AGGAUCAUUAUUGAUAAGUUUUAAUAUCAAAACCCCCCUUUGUUUAUAAUCUACCAUGUUGCUUCCACUGGACAGACCAGCUUUAUUUAUACAAGUUGGUCCUUUAGUUUUGUAUUAUUUUUGGCAUAAACUAGAGAGCUGCCAGUGGAUAGAAUCUAAAUAUGAAAAACUUAUGAAGAAACUUAUAUUGUCUGAUCAUUAUUGUAAGAACAAAAAAAUAAAACUUUCAACAACGGAUCUCUAGGCUCUUGCAUCGAUGAAGAACGCAGUGAAAUACGAUAAGUAAUGUGAAUUGCAGAAUCUCGUGAAUCAUCGAAUCUUUGAACGCACAUUGCGCCCUAUGGAAGUCUGUAGGGCAUGCCUGUCUGAGCGUCAGCAGCAAAAAUAUCAAAUCUUUUUAAACAAAGAUUUGGAUUUGGUUAAGAGAUGUAAUCCUAUGAACUGGUUACUCUUUAGAAAUUUAAAGGCAGUAUUGAUCAAUCUAACUGUAAACGUGAUAAAACAUUUCGUUUUAUUGUUAGCAAUGACCUUUUUACUUGCCUAUAACCCACUCAUCGUCUUGGGUGACCUCAGAUCAGGUAGGGAUACCCGCUGAACUUAAGCAUAUCAAUAAGCGGAGGAAAAGAAACCAACAGGGAUUGCCUU